UAGGGGAACCUGCGGCUGGAUCACCUCCUUUCUAAGGAUGGUUCUUCAGAAGCUUGCUUCUAUCGAACCGUUUUAGAAACAUCAGUGGCCAACAGAUCGCCAGAUCGUUGAGCUGCAUUGGCGGGAUUUCGCCGUCUUCGUUUCUCUUUCUUCGCGGACGAACACGCGCUGGGCCUGCAUCGAGCAGGAUCCCACGGUCCCUGACGGGAUAUGCGUUAGGGGCUUGUAGCUCAGUUGGUUAGAGCGCGCGCUUGAUAAGCGUGAGGUCGGAAGUUCAAGUCUUCCCAGGCCCACCACUUUCAGUGAGCAUUCGUCUUCUGGUUACGGGGCCAUAGCUCAGCUGGGAGAGCGCGUGCUUUGCAAGCAUGAGGUCGUCGGUUCGAUCCCGUCUGGCUCCACCAGAUGGUUUGAUCACCGAGAUCUUGUACCGUCGUCCGCGAAACAUCACUUCGCAUCCUGCUAGUCUGGAUAGACAGCAAGAUGCGUGUUUUCUGACAUCGUAAAGAGGAGAUCGAUCCGAGUUGGGUCGUGCAGCAGAUUGUUGCGCGGAUCCUUCAUUAUCUCCGGAUCAUUUUCGGCGCUCGCUCUCAGCCGUGAGGUUGAAUGCGAGUUGUAAAAUGAUCCUUUUAGCGAAGCUUGACCGCCUCGCUAUCGGAACGAUCUUACGAAGCAAGCUGGUCUUUCUAGUCAAUGUCCGGCUGCACGUAGCAUUCAUCGAGGGUGCGCGCCUUAGAGACUUCGGUUUCUCGGCGAUCGUGCAGACAACAUUCUGCCGAGUGUGUGGACAUUGAUAAUGAGAGCA
rnacentral:tRNA from 1 species